UCACCAAUGCACGAUUGAUCCUAUAAACAAAAAGUGUUCAUGUAAUACACGUCCAAAUAAGCAGCAAAUCUAGAAGAAAAUCAUUCAACUUAUGUCAUCAAUUUUGGGCGGUAAGCUGCGAUUGGAUCAUAUAGUAACACGUGUUUAAUCCCGAUCAACACUUGCAGAUCUAGAGACGAGCAUGAAUUUAUAAAAAAAUCAAAGUAUAUGGCUGAAUAUAGACAAAAUCCAUUUUUUUCAUAAACAUUUAAUUCACUUUUAUCGAAUUUAUAUCAGUGGUGGAUCCAGGUCUAAAUCCAGGACAAAACAGGGGGGGGGGGGGUUCCAACUUUAUGUCCCCAUUUAAAUGCAUUGAUCGUCAAAAAAAGGGUUGUUCCAACCCCCGGGACUCCCACCACUGCAUAUUAAAUUCAUGUAUUUGGCAACAAACGCGCGAUUUCCACGAUUUUUUAAAGGGGGGAAUGGGGGGAUGGAAUGGCACAUCCUGCAUUUUUUCAUCAAAAAUAAAGAUCACAGCCUGUUUAUUUUAAAAUGAAUUAGCCCCUCUCCCCCCCCCUUUUUCCCCGCUUUCCGUUUUAUUCAUAAAAAUCAAACGUUAUCUUACUUACCACUAAAAUAUUUCUUUAAUAUAUUACUUUUUUACGAAGUUGCAUUUUAAAAAG
rnacentral:lncRNA from 1 species